AAAAUAAUCAAAACAUCCAUCUCUGAAUUAUUAUCUUUCUCAUCUUUGUCAUCAAUUUUGGGGGCUUUGCGGUAGGAGCCGAAGAGGUUGUCGCCGGAGUGGGAAUCGUUGUCGUCGCCAUAGAAGAAGUCGUCGUCGAGGGUUCCGACGCGGGUGAGGUGGAGGAAGGGGCGGUGGCAGCGAGAUCGAGGCGAGAGAGGAGGAGUCUGCGGGGGUGGGGGAAGAUCGGAAGGCUGCAAGGUUGAGGCGGGAGAGGAGGGAUCGGACUUGAGGGAGGGGUCGCGGUUGAUGAAGGCGGUAAGGAGGUGGGUGUCGUUUUCGACGACGGUGAGAAAGGAGAAGAUGAGGAAGGAGAGGAGAGGAAGGUGAGGAGGUUGGAGGCGAAGAAGGAGAAGGUUUUAUUUGUUGGGAGGUUUUUGUUUGUUUUUUUGUUUUGUGUUUGGGUGCAUCUGCGUGGGAGAGAGGAGAAGAGUAUGUGUGUAUAGUGGGGGAUGGUUUUAUAUAUAAAAUGAUUAAAAUUAGGUAUUCUAAUAUUACGGGACGGGACGGGAUUUUUCGGGAUAGUCCCGAUCCCGUCCCGUCCCGUUUCAACACUACCAUAACGGGACGGGACGGGACGGGACGGGAUUGCCAUUUUCAAAACCUAUCCCGUCCCGUCCCGCUAACUUUCGGGACGAGACCGGUACGGGAUCGGGAUUCCAGUACUAAGUGCCCAGCCCUACUUGCUGCAAUCAAACCGAUAUUCUUGUACACUACAUUUUUCACUUGAACUGCCGAUUUCUGUGAUUCGUUAACUAUAUAUCUUUUAGUUGGCCAUGCCAAGAAGAUUACCAAAUUAUUUGUUGUUAUGAAUUAGUACUGCACUUAAUUUGUUUGCCUGUUCUUUACAUGGUUUCUUACUGUCACAGUAGUAUUGGUCUAUUAUAUAUGAUGGGGCUGGUAACAAUAUGCAUUUCAAUGUUCUCAAAUGUGAUGUUGCCGGCAUUUCCAGAUCCUCCUUGCAACAUAUUCCAAAGGUAAACUCGAAAGUUGUUACAUACUUUCAUGAGGUUAUAGCUUCUAAUUUUAACUUGAAGAUUAAUAUAUAUACGUUUGUUGUAAAACAAAAGGAAUAGAUUGAGAAAGGAGAGAAACAACCAAGAGAAUGAGAGAAUAUGUGUAUAUUAUUGAGUAGGAAACCAUCUCUUAUAUAGAGAUGAGGUCAUGAUGUAAAUUACAAUAACAACCCUAGUUGGCUAAUUACAAGAAUGCCCACUAAAUAAUAACUUUUUACAACACUCCCCCUUGGGUAUUCUCUGUCAUUAGUUUCCCUUAAUAUGUGCUUCGGUGUUGCCUCGUCAAAACCUUGCCAAGUAAUAAAAGCCCUAUGGGAUAAAAACAAUACUAGUCGAAGGAGAAAAGAGUACAACGCACAAAUAGCAGUGAUAGUCAGAACCUUUGAUUUCGAUGAAGCGGUUUAGUCUGGAUCAUAAGAUGUGAGUCUAUGGGAGAUGGAUGCAUAAAAGUUGCUACACCAAAACCUUGCCCGGUAAACCCAGUGGGACAAACCCGUGGUCGAAAGGAAAAGAUGAGUAAAUGCAUAUAUUUCAAAUAAAGGCAUCUUCAAGAUGCAGCAUGAGGAAGGUGACCAAUUACAUGUGUGCCUCAUUAAAACCUUGUCAGGUAACAAAACCCAGUGGGACAAAAUAACCCUGGACGAAGGACAAAAAGAGUACACAAUGGUCAAGAGUAUGCUUCAAGAUACUCCCCCUGAAAACUACACACUAGGUAAAACUACUACAUUGAUCAUGCUUCUUGAAUAACUUAAUAGUCAGCAUGAUUUAAAGAGGUUUUUGUUUCAUAUACCUCUAAGAUUAUUGUAUUCCCUAUAGUAAAGACAUAACCAGUUGGGAAUAAGCCUUGUGUGGAUUUACAUAACCCAUGUCAGCAUAUUUAACAAGGCAAACAUCAUUCUAAGGAUCAUAGGCGGUUAAUCUAUUCCAUGAUGCCUAGGGAUAGAACGAGCCCUUUUCCGCACGUCAUACAUUUAAAGUAACGGAAAAUUGUCUUUUAUGCCAUUUAAGGAGGCGGUGUGUUGGCGCAGAGCUAUAUCUAGCUAACAAAUUCACAUCAUAUGAGAUGUUCGGUCAAGGCCAUUUAACUAAGUACAAUAAUGCGCCUAUUGUACUUAGAUAUGAGUCUUCUGGCCUUAAUAUCUCUUCAUUAUUAUCUGCAUGAUAAUACAGGUGUCUUUAGACUUUGGACGACUAUAGGUGUGCUUAAAUACUUUGUUUUAUCCUCAUCAAAGUAUCUUAACAUCUUCUAGUAUUUAAUUUGAUUGAUGACCAAAUUCCAUCUGCACUUUGCACGACUUCAGGCCGAAAAAUAAUAUUUGGUCUCCUAAAGUCAUUCAUCUCAAACUCCGAUUUCAGGUGUUUUGCAGUUUCCUUAAUCUCUUCAAGAGUAUCAGUCAAAUUCAUGUCAUUGACAUAAAUUACCACAAAUUACAAACCCGGAAUUUGUUUCCUUAAAACACGCAUGGGCAUAGUCCAUUUGUUCAUAUAUCCCAUCCUAAACAAAUAUUCACUUAGACGGUUAUACCAACUCCGUCUGGAUUGUUUGAACCCCUAAAGUGAACUACUCUAGCAAAUGGAGAGCAUGUUCUGUGGUCUAGAACUAUUUGCAUUGGGUAACAGAAGUCCUUUAGGAAACUUCAUGUAUAUCUCUAUAUUUAGAUCCCCAUAGAGAUAAGUUGUUACCACAUUCAUAGACUGCUUAUUCAGUUAUUUGGAAACUACCAAACUGAUAAGGUAGUGGAACGUUAUGACGUCCAUUACAGGAAAGUACGUCUCCUCGUAAUCAAUCGCAGGGCGUUGAGAAAAUCUUUGCGCCACUAAACGAGACUUAUAUCACAAUCUUGUUUUUCUCAUUACGCUUCCUUACAAAUACCUAUCUAAAUAAUAUAGGUUUAACAUGGGUAGGUGUGGGAACAACAGGCCCAUAACACCUUUCUCUUAGUUAAGGAAUUUGAUUUGACCUGGAUUGUUUCUUUCCUUUUUAGCCAGUCGUCUCUUCGUUGAGAUCUGUCAACGAAGCAAGGUUCGACAUCAUCGCUUAUUAUAAAUUCGAUGGCCACCGCAAAUACAAACACAUCAUCGAUGAACUCUCAUUCCGAUUCAGUAUCUCACUAAAUUUACCGAGAUUUUCUAUUCUCGGGAGUGGGUUUAAAUGUUGGAGCGUCCCCCAACAUCGCCUCUUCUAGGACAAACCCAUAAUCCGGAUUUAUCUCGUGAGUUGAAUUGGUUGAGAUUGCGAUGGCAAGAAGAUUCAUUUGUGCCAAGUUUACCCUCUUCUGGGGAUAAGAAUCGUUCGAACCUAAUGGUCUACCUCGCUUCUGGGCAGGGACUAUGACUGGUUAGCCGCCAUGGUAGUACCUCGUCCAACUAGGACGAUACGUCCAAUGGGGACAUUUAUCCUUGCAGGUUUGCAGCAGGUAUAUAUGAUCUCGUCACUUUAACUAGAUCUAAUGAAGUGUCUGACAUAUUCUGGGCUACACUACAUAGAUCUAGAAUUAUUUGCACUCCAACUAGAAGUAGAAUUCUUCGCACUUCAAUAUAACAUGUGCGGUUUGGGGAUCAAGAUGAGACAUUCUACACGUCGUUCAUCAGGAACGGUGACGUUGUUAUCUCCCCCUAACGGCGGGAAUACUAUCUCAUCAAAGUGACGACCGCAAAUCUAGUGGUAUAGAGAUCUCCUGUCAAGGGCUCUAAGGAGCACAUAAAUGGAUAGGGUUCAUAAUCGACAUAUAUGCCCAUCAUUUGUUGAGGACCCGAUUGUGUACGUUGUGGCGGCACAAUUGGCACGAAGACUACAAACCCAAUGCGUGUAAGUGCAAAAACAUCAGGUUCACACCCAGUCACCAACUGUAACACGAAAUAAGAUGGGUAGCAGUGGGCCUCAACCGGACCGACAUGGCUGCAUGCAAGAUUGCAUAGCCCGACGCAAACACUAGAAGCUUGGUGCGCAUUACCAAGGUUCUAUUUGCGAGACCAUCUUGGGUGUGAACAUAAGAACUUAUAUGUUCAACAUAUCCCAAGGGAUAUGUAAUAAUCAUCGUAAGCCAUUGAUGUAAACUCUCCGACAUUAUCAUAUCUUAUAGACUUUAUAUGAUAAUCCGAGUGGUGUACCCUAAAUUUCAUGGGUGAGAGUUUAGCAAACGCAGCAUUUUCUUGUGGACAGUGAUGUGACAUCUGAUCACUUUUGUCGAUGCAUCAACCAAAACCAUUAAUAUUUAACUGGUUCGUAUGGUGGUUGGAUAGGUCCACGUAUUUUCCCUUGCAUUCUGUGCAUAAAUAGAUAGUGUGUAUUCUAGUCUUUGCAUAUGAUGGUCUAGUAUUCAAUAUUCUUAACGAGCAGCUUAACAUAAUGUGUCAUCAAAGACAAGACCCUUAUUCUGAAGGGGAUGCCCGUGUAAUAAUUGAGUUGAGGAUACGAUGCAUCAUAUGUUUUUCCCGAGUGCAUCAAACACCAAUACUAUAGCUACUAUUUGCUCGAAUCAUUUAGCUUCUAGCUAAUAAAUUUGAAUAUAGUCAAUGUACGCUUUUGGCCGCACAUUCGAAGGUUAUGCAAAGAUAUUACACCAUUUUUCUGGUGGUUUCAAUGUUUUAAGCAUUGAUUCAAUGAACUUACCUUUCGAUAACGUUCUUCUGAAACGUAAAGAUAUUUUGACCUUGUCAGCCAGACGAGAACGCUCAAUUCCUUAAUAUUGAUAACGCAUAUCAAUUUUGAUUUAGAUUCUAAGGCAACAAGCCCUUCCAUUUUAAUAUUCUUUUGCUUCAUGCAAGGAAGAUGUUUAGUUCAAAUUGUUUCUUCUGGAGACUACCAAUUAACAUGAUAACGCUACCGAUUUUAUCAUGUCUGAUGAAUUUGGAAUGAAACUUCAAGUUUCUUAAGGGGAUUAUUAUCGAAACUAGAAGAUCGAUUUAUACAUGAACUACGGGUUCAUGUCUGAACUACCGGUUCAUUUCUGAACUACUGGUUCAUUAGGUACAUGUAUUUUCAAGUUAUAAUCAUGUAACAAUUGAUGAUAUUAAUUCCACGCUACUAAUUUUAGCAUAGUGAAUAUGUCACAUAACUAUGUGUAAAUGCUUCUGGCAAUUAACUAUACAUUAAAUAUGAUGAAUAUAUUAACAAUAGCCGUUAUGAGAAAAUAUUUGGAGAGUCCUAAUAACGUGUUCCUAUAGACAUACAUAAUGACUAGGUACGAAAAUCCAGUGUCAUUAGAUUAUUUUCCUUUUGUUUGAUUUUGCUUGACCAAAGGAAUUGACUGAAAUUAAAGUGAAAUAAAUAAACCUAGCCUCUACAUACUUUACAAGCCUACGGGGCACAAUCUAAGAGGUAUGCUAGGCUUUUAGGUCCCGUAGAGGGAGAGUAGGCCUACUGGGCUAAUAAUGGUCUACCAAGAAAUACAAUAUUAUUAAUCAACCCUUUCGGUAACUCCAAUUGUAUACGACCAGGUAAGCCAUGAUGAGGUGGUGGAGCGAGGCUCACUUAAGUACACAUCCUCAAAAGUACUUGCCUAGACAUCGCAUCCAACUGGGUGAGCCUAGUUUGAGAAGAGUUAUAAUCAUUGUCAUAGACUUAAGGCGACAUGUGGUGAGCUUUUCUGCUAGCCUUACAGCUUAGGUUGAGCUCCUGGCUCGGACUUACUGUUGUCACAUAGGCUUGAUUUGAGCUUCUGACUCAGCCUUAUUUAAUAUUCAUCAUUAAUAAGACAAAUCAACAUAUGCUAUUAAUUCAUUACUUACAACUUAAAGUGAAAGUAAUUUUCAAUUAAAUCGAAAUAAACUAAACAUAACGGAAACAAUUUAAUUGACAUAAAGUAUAUGCAUUAACAUUGGUAAUUACUGAACCAAUAAAUGUAAACACCGUAACGGUUACGUGCAAAAUAAAUUCAUUUGCAUCAUUAAUUGCUUCCGGCAAAAUGCGUCAUUAUAUCCCCAUAACAAUUCAUAUAAAUGAUAACAUAAUUGAGAAUUGAUUAAAUAAAACUGACGCAAUUUGAAUUUGGUAAUUAACCGAUAUUUAAUAUAUGGCAUAAAUUACUAAAUAAAUAUCAUUUAUGCAGUGGUUAAGUAUAUUCCAAAGACAAUGAGUACAAAUCUCAUUAAUGCUUCUAGCAUUAUACAUAGGUAUUAAAUUGGAUAAAUGCUUCUGGCAUAAUGGAUUAUAAUAAAAUUCAUGCUUCUAGCAUAAUUGAUUAUAAUGACAUAAUUUAAAUUUGUAUAACCGAAGAUUAAACUCAUAACGUCUUUAUCGUAAUUUGCACAAUAAUUUGACCCAUAAUGCUUGUGCCAUAAUAUAUGGGUUAUAACUUGGUAAAUGCUUCCGGCAUUACAUGCCCUUAAAUGCUUCCGGUUAUAACGUCUUUAUACAUGUCCUUAAAUGCUUCCGGCAUUAUAUGCCCUUAAAUGACAUUGAAUUUGACACAAUUCAAAUCUGUAACUGACAAAACGUAUAUAUUAAAACGUAUAUAUUAAGUCACAAUUAAGUAACAUAAUCAGUGCUACGCGUCAUUAUACAAAUGACGUUACAUUUUUAAAUGGAUUUUAUUCAAACCUCAUUAUGAGCAAUGUUAAUUUGUUUCACUAAAUGUUUCAGGCAUAAAUAUUCCAUAUAUGUAACCGUUGAUAUAAAUGACAAAAUUAAUGGUCCUACAUUACCGGUUACAUGCAUUACUUCCAGAAUGCAUUCACGCUCUUGUGUUCGAAUGUCAGAGAAUGAUAGCGGAUCUGAAAUUCGUUUAUCCAUGUGCCUUUUGGUAUGCACUACUAGGCAUGCGACUGGGCUUAUUUCGGUGGCUACUGGCCUCCCUGAAGAUUUUUAUGUCUUCUAUUUCAACCACAAAACAUGCGCAAAUUUAUAUACCACAUACGUAUUUAUCAUCCGAAUAAAUUAAGAAUAUAAAUUUAGGUCUUCAUGCAUCGUAUAUAGAUUUCAAAACGCAACCAAAGACAAUGGGUUCAUGCUUCAUGGUGAUUUGUUCAUCAUAUAAUCAAGGCUAGCAAAUAUGAAUUGGAAUUAAGAUAAGAAAACGUUACUCAUUGCAGAACGGAUAAUCUCCAUCUUUUAUGUGUAGCACUGAGAAUGCCGUUUGUGGAGCUACUCAGCCAAUCCAAGAACUUGGUUAGAUAAUGAUCCUCAUAUGGUUGAUCAUCGAUUUCAGAGCUUUCUAUGUCAAUGUAGAGCGAAUUCGAUGAAUCAAAUUGAAAGAUCAUCGUUUGCUUUUAGAGCUUCACAUGCAAUAGAAAACAAGAUAAUGUUAGAACUAUUCGUGCUGAUAACGUGUUGUAAAACAAAAAGAAUAGAUUGAGAAAGGAGAGAAACAACCAAGAGAAUGAGAGAAUAUGUGUAUAUUAUUGAGUAGGGAAUCAUCUCUUAUAUAGAGAUGAGGUCAUGAUGUAAAUUACAAUAACAACCCUAGUUGGCUAAUUACAAGAAUGCCCACUAAAUAAUAACUUUUUACAACAACGUUCUAAUAAAUUAUGUUACCUGCCAAGUCUUAAUCCUGACGCCAUUUGUGGUUCCGUUUAGUUUAGCUCCAUCGAUGGAAACUUCAGAAACAUGAGCUUCAGAUUUUCCAGAUCCCAAGCUUCCUAUACUGAUCGAGGUCACAAUGAAAAAUUCGACCGAGCGUAAACUAAAAGCAUGCAUAUUACUAUCCAGAUCUGUAAAUUUGGCCGUGCAUGGUAUAUAG
rnacentral:lncRNA from 1 species